rnacentral:rRNA from 1 species
GAUGAACGCUGGCGGCGUGCCUAAUACAUGCAAGUCGAGCGAACAGACGAGGAGCUUGCUCCUCUGACGUUAGCGGCGGACGGGUGAGUAACACGUGGAUAACCUACCUAUAAGACUGGGAUAACUUCGGGAAACCGGAGCUAAUACCGGAUAAUAUAUUGAACCGCAUGGUUCAAUAGUGAAAGACGGUUUUGCUGUCACUUAUAGAUGGAUCCGCGCCGCAUUAGCUAGUUGGUAAGGUAACGGCUUACCAAGGCAACGAUGCGUAGCCGACCUGAGAGGGUGAUCGGCCACACUGUAACUGAGACACGGUCCAGACUCAUACGGGAGGCAGCAGUAGGGAAUCUUCCGCAAUGGGCGAAAGCCUGACGGAGCAACGCCGCGUGAGUGAUGAAGGUCUUCGGAUCGUAAAACUCUGUUAUUAGGGAAGAACAAAUGUGUAAGUAACUAUGCACGUCUUGACGGUACCUAAUCAGAAAGCCACGGCUAACUACGUG